AAAAGCUUCUAGUGAGAAAACAGCGGCCCGUACCGCAAACCGACACAGGUAGUCGAGGAGAGAAUCCUAAGGUGAGCGAGAGAACUCUCGUUAAGGAACUCGGCAAAAUGACCCCGUAACUUCGGGAGAAGGGGUGCUGAUCAUACGAUCAGCCGCAGUGAAUAGGCCCAAGCGACUGUUUAUCAAAAACACAGGUCUCUGCAAAAUCGUAAGAUGAAGUA
rnacentral:rRNA from 1 species